GCAAGGUUUUGGAAGACAAGGAAUCAUGGCAAUCAACAGGAUGAAUGGUGUAAUGGCUAUUCUUUUGUGCGGAAUGAUUCUUCUGGGAGCAAAUGUGGAGGUUGAGGCCUGCCCACAAUAUUGCUUAGAUGUUGAGUAAAUGACCUGCGGUAACUCGGGAACGAAGCAGUACCCCAGCUGCAUCAAUUGUUGCUUGGCCCCAAAAGGCUGCACUCUUCAUCUUGCUGAUGGAACUUCACAAUAUUGCGGCUAAAUCAAUUCCAUGAUUGGAGUUUGUACGCUAGACUGCUAAUAUCAUGCUAGACUGGUACAAUAUAAUUUCAGCUUCCACGAGGGUUGAAGAUAUCCAUGUAGUAUAUCAGUGAUUCAAGAGACAGUUGAGUCAUAUUCAAUCACUGAUCUUAUACACUAAAUAAAGGUAUACAAAUAGAGUAACUUUUGUUA